UGGGGAAUAUUGGACAAUGGGCGCAAGCCUGAUCCAGCAAUGCCGCGUGUGUGAAGAAGGCCUUCGGGUUGUAAAGCACUUUUAUCAGGAGCGAAACGCUGUCGGCUAAUACCCGGCGGAACUGACGGUACCUGAGGAAUAAGCACCGGCUAACUUCGUGCCAGCAGCCGCGGUAAUACGAAGGGUGCAAGCGUUAAUCGGAAUUACUGGGCGUAAAGCGUGCGUAGGCGGUUUCUUAAGUCUGCUGUGAAAUCCCCGGGCUCAACCUGGGAAUGGCAGUGGAUACUGGGAGGCUAGAGUGUGUCAGAGGGUGGUGGAAUUCCCGGUGUAGCGGUGAAAUGCGUAGAGAUCGGGGGGAACAUCAGGUGGCGAAGGCGGCCACCUGGGACAACACUGACGCUGAGGCACGAAAGCGUGGGGAGCAAACAGGAUUAGAUACCCUGGUAGUCCACGCCCUAAACGAUGCGAACUGGAUGUUGGUCUCAACUCGGAGAUCAGUGUCGAAGCUAACGCGUUAAGUUCGCCGCCUGGGGAGUACGGUCGCAAGACUGAAACUCAAAUGAAUUGAC
rnacentral:rRNA from 1 species